CCCUUUCUGGCUUUUCUCCAUUCUUCGUGUUCUUUGCUGUCUUUGCUUUCCUGUCAUCAUUAUCUGGACAUGUCCUUUCUUUCCUUUUCCAUGACUAUCUUUUAAAAUUCUGACACCGUUAGCUUAGAGUCUAGCAUAGCUCUGCCCCGUGCUAAGGCCUCAGGCUCCGGGUAUAUAUCAACGCUAACUUUUCUUCAUUCUCAAAUCCUCUGCUGGAACAAGAGGUUCUUCCUUUCCGUUUAUCUGUCUGCUUCUUUCCUCCAGCGAGAUUGUUCUGAUUGUUCUGUUUUAUCUGCAAAGGAUCCAUUUGACGCCUUCUUCAAACGGAAUGAGGUGAGCUUGAGUUUGUAUUGCUUGGUUGCCCCAGAGGUUUGUUUUAAUCUUGCUUUUAUCAUCUUGAUGGAGAAUUGUUUCUGACUUGUCUCUGUUUUGAAACUUUUUGCAGUACCUGAGAUAAGAAUGGGUCAGUUCAAAAUUCUUGAAAAUUUGAUGUUACCUCUAAGGAGUCUGGACGGUGCUUUGGAGAUCCUUCUGGUAGGGCGGCCGAUGGGUGGGACUAUUCGGCAAGCUGCUGAGACUGUUU
rnacentral:lncRNA from 1 species